GAUGAACGCUGGCGGCGUGCCUAAUACAUGCAAGUCGAGCGAACAGACGAGGAGCUUGCUCCUCUGACGUUAGCGGCGGACGGGUGAGUAACACGUGGAUAACCUACCUAUAAGACUGGGAUAACUUCGGGAAACCGGAGCUAAUACCGGAUAAUAUAUUGAACCGCAUGGUUCAAUAGUGAAAGACGGUUUUGCUGUCACUUAUAGAUGGAUCCGCGCCGCAUUAGCUAGUUGGUAAGGUAACGGCUUACCAAGGCAACGAUGCGUAGCCGACCUGAGAGGGUGAUCGGCCACACUGGAACUGAGACACGGUCCAGACUCCUACGGGAGGCAGCAGUAGGGAAUCUUCCGCAAUGGGCGAAAGCCUGACGGAGCAACGCCGCGUGAGUGAUGAAGGUCUUCGGAUCGUAAAACUCUGUUAUUAGGAAAGAACAAAUGUGUAAGUAACUAUGCACGUCUUGACGGAACCUAAGCAGAAAGCCACGGCUAACUACGU
rnacentral:rRNA from 1 species